rnacentral:rRNA from 1 species
UACGUAGGGGGCAAGCGUUGUCCGGAAUUAUUGGGCGUAAAGCGCGUGUAGGCGGUCCGGUAAGUCGGCUGUGAAAGUCCAGGGCUCAACCCUGGGAUGCCGGUCGAUACUGCCGGGCUAGAGUUCGGAAGAGGCGAGUGGAAUUCCCGGUGUAGCGGUGAAAUGCGCAGAUAUCGGGAGGAACACCAAUGGCGAAGGCAGCUCGCUGGGACGUUACUGACGCUGAGACGCAAAAGCGUGGGGAGCAAACAGG